CACUUAGGAAGCAGAGGCAGGUAGAUU
rnacentral:piRNA from 1 species